rfam:Chelonia mydas contig151190, whole genome shotgun sequence.
GUGGGCUACGGGGACAUGUCCCCCGUGACAGUGGGCGGGAAGAUCGUGGGCUCGCUGUGCGCCAUCGCCGGGGUCCUCACCAUCUCCCUCCCGGUGCCCGUCAUCGUCUCCAAC